AUUGAACGCUGGCGGCAUGCCUUACACAUGCAAGUCGAACGGUAACAGGUCUUCGGAUGCUGACGAGUGGCGAACGGGUGAGUAAUACAUCGGAACGUGCCCGAUCGUGGGGGAUAACGAAGCGAAAGCUUUGCUAAUACCGCAUAAGAUCUACGGAUGAAAGCAGGGGACCGCAAGGCCUUGCGCGAACGGAGCGGCCGAUGGCAGAUUAGGUAGUUGGUGGGAUAAAAGCUUACCAAGCCGACGAUCUGUAGCUGGUCUGAGAGGACGACCAGCCACACUGGGACUGAGACACGGCCCAGACUCAUACGGGAGGCAGCAGUGGGGAAUUUUGGACAAUGGGCGCCAGCCUGAUCCGGCAAUGCCGCGUGCAGGAAGAAGGCCUUCGGGUUGUAGACUGCUUUGGUACGGAACGAAAAGGCUCUGGAUAAUACCUGGGGCUCAUGACGGUACCGUAAGAAUAAGCACCGGCUAACUAUGUGCAAGCAGCCGCCGUAAAAC
rnacentral:rRNA from 1 species